rnacentral:ncRNA from 1 species
UGACGAUGCGGUUCGGCACCUCGAUGUCGACUUGGCGCAUCCUGGCCCUGAAGAAGGGGCCAAGGGUUGGUCUGUUCGCCCAUUAAAGCGCUGCGUUAGAUGGGUUCAGAGCGUCGCGAGACAGCUCGGUCUCUAUCCGAUGUAAUCGUUCGUUUCUUGAGGGGAUUCGUCUACAGUACGAGAGGACCUAGACGAGGGAACCGCUUGUGUGCCAGUUGUGCCGUCAGGCGCAUUGCUGGGUAGCUACGUUCCUAUUAGAUAACUGCUGAAAGCAUCUCAAGCAGGAAACUGACCCCGAGAUAAGGAAACGUUGUUCCGCAAGGAGCGAGAGAUCGCCGGGAGACUACCGGUUAAUACUCUGCGUGUGCAAGAUCCGUAAGGAUUUAAGCUAAGCAGUGGAAAGAUCAAAGAAAAUCUUUAA